ACGCUCGACACCUACGGGNGGCAGCAGUAGGGAAUCUUCCACAAUGGACGCAAGUCUGAUGGAGCAACGCCGCGUGAGUGAAGAAGGUUUUCGGAUCGUAAGGCUCUGUUGUUGGUGAAGAAGGAUAGAGGUAGUAACUGGCCUUUAUUUGACGGUAAUCAACCAGAAAGUCACGGCUAACUACGUGCCACAGCCGCGGUAAUCUGAGCGGGCUGGCAAGGC
rnacentral:rRNA from 1 species